UACGUAGGGUGCGAGCGUUGUCCGGAAUUAUUGGGCGUAAAGAGCUCGUAGGCGGUCUGUCGCGUCGAUCGUGAAAACUUGGGGCUUAACCCUGAGCUUGCGGUCGAUACGGGCAUGACUGGAGUUCGGCAGGGGAGACUGGAAUUCCUGGUGUAGCGGUGAAAUGCGCAGAUAUCAGGAGGAACACCGGUGGCGAAGGCGACUACCUGGCCUGUUCUUGACGCUGAGGCGCGAAAGCUAGGGGAGCAAACAGG
rnacentral:rRNA from 1 species